GAUGAACGCUAGCGGCAGGCUUAAUACAUGCAAGUCGAGGGGGCAGCAAUGUCACCGGCGAACGGGUGCGUAACACGUAUGCAACCUACCUAUAUCAGGGGGAUAGCCCGAGGAAACUCGGAUUAAUACCGCAUAACAUUAGGAUCGGCAUCGAUUUUAAUUGAAAGAUUUAUUGGAUAUAGAUGGGCAUGCGUAGGAUUAGCUAGUUGGUAAGGUAACGGCUUACCAAGGCUACGAUCCUUAGGGGCUCUGAGAGGAGUAUCCCCCACACUGGAACUGAGAGACGGGCCAGACUCCUACGGGAGGCAGCAGUAGGGAAUAUUGGGCAAUGGGCGAAAGCCUGACCCAGCCAUGCCGCGUGCAGGAAGACGGCCCUCUGGGUUGUAAACUGCUUUUGAAUGGGAAGAAAGGUAUGCUUGCGAGCGUAAUUGACGGUACCAUUAGAAUAAGCCACGGCUAACUACGUGCCAGCCGCCGCCGUAAAAC
rnacentral:rRNA from 1 species